CGAUUUCACUCUUCAUGAUGGGUUUCUUUUUCGUGGCGACCGUCUCUGCGUUCCGGAUUGUAGCCUCCGUCUUCAACUAAUCGCUGAAACACAUAAUGAGGGUCAUAUAGGACGCGACAGAACAUUGCAUUUGAUCUCUGCGUCAUAUUUCUGGCCGGCUCUAAGACGCGAUGUUGAGCGUUUUGUGGAGAGAUGCACGACCUGUCAAACGUCGAAAGGACAUGCUACAAACGCUGGUCUCUACAUGCCGUUACCUAUACCAACGCAACCGUGGACUGACAUCAGUAUGGAUUUCGUCAUGGGUCUUCCUCGUACACAAAAAGGGUUUGAUUCAAUCUUUGUUGUCGUGGAUCGAUUCUCAAAAAUGGUGCACUUUGUUCCCUGUAAAAAAACGACGGAUGCAGUUCAAGUUGCGACACUCUUCUUCCGUGAGGUUUAUAGACUUCAUGGGUUGCCUACUUCUAUUGUCUCAGACCGUGAUUCACGCUUCUUAGGUCACUUCUGGCGAUCUCUUUGGAAGCUUCUCGGCACCAGUCUUGACAUGAGUUCCGCAUAUCAUCCCCAAACGGACGGUCAAACAGAGGUGACCAAUAGAUCGUUGGAUAACUUGCUACGAUGUCUUGUUGGUGAUUCCAUUAAAUCAUGGGAUUCAAAACUUCCUCAAGCAGAGUUUGCUCAUAAUCAUGAACUCAAUCGAAGUUCAGGUUUCAGUCCAUUUCAGGUCGUUUAUGGUCUUCUUCCUCGUGGUCCUUUGGAUUUAACUACUCUUCCAGACCAUACCCGUCUUCAUGGAGUCGCUGCUGAUUUUGUCGACAAUAUUCAUCAAGUUCAUGCGCAGGUUAUCACCAAUCUUCAGUCCUCCUCGUCAAAGUACAAAGCAGCGUCUGAUUCUCAUCGUCGCCGUGUCCUAUUUGAAGUUGGUGAUCAAGUUUGGGCGUUUCUCACUAAGGAUCAAAUGCCAGCUCAUGCUUAUAACAAACUCAAGGCAAAGAAAAUAGGUCCCUCUCACAGUCCUGAAGCGUAUUAAUGAUAAUGUAUAUCGUCUGCAACUUCCAGCUCAUAUCACUACCUCGGAUGUAUUCAAUGUUCGUUAUCUCUCUCGCUAUGCUCCACCGGAUCCGGUUCCUGAUUCGAGGUCGAAUCUUUCUCACCCCGGGGGACCUGAUGCAGCAUCAUGAUACCUUCACCGCCAAGCAACUAUUUUUCUAUUUCGGUUUUUAGAAGAUUUCAUUUUCUAAUUAUGAAUUCCUUUUAGUAGAUUUUCUAUUUUUAACAGAGUUAGGUUAUUAUAAACCGUCUCUAGGAUUCUAUAUAAGAGAUUGUAAGUUGGCUUUGAUAAGUAGUUUUUGAAAGAUAAUAAACUAGAGUUUCUCUAAAACCUUGCAUUGAUUUGAUUCUGUCGUCAAUACGAGAACCUUGUAUCGAAUUUGAUUAAGUUCUUCGAUUCAAGAAGUCAGGUCUCUAAAGAUUUAACUUAAAUCUUUAGAUUUGAGCUGAGUUACCGUUGAUACGCUGCGCCAUGGAGGAAGGCAUCUCUUCACCUUUUGUUUUGUUCUUUGAUAGAUUUAUUUUAUGGAAGCGGUAUUUGAAAAUCUAAACUAAACUAAACUAAUUAAGAAAACGGAGGAAGGCUAGACUUAAAUAUUAUUUUAAGCAACUUAAGUUUUCUGAACAUUGGGCCAUCAUUGUUUGGUGACAGAAGAAAAAAUAUAAGAAAUGAACAUUGGCCCAUCGUUCCAUUCGAUCGGUCAUGGACUUAUAAUCGAUUAAUCACUGCUUCAAAGUUGAUUUCAGCUCCUAUACUUGCUCUACCUGAUUUUACCGAAAAUAAAUCGGUGCUGUCUUGAGUCAGCAAAAAUGGCCUAUCGCCUUCUUCAGUGAAAAGCUGGCAGGAGCUCGUUUACGUUAUAGUACUUAUGAUGUGGAGUUUUAUGCCGUGGUUCAAGCAAUCAAGCACUGGAGACAUUAUCUUUUUCAUAAAGAAUUCGUUCUCUAUACAGAUCACGAUGCGUUAAAACACUUGAGUAGUCAAGAUAAGGUCUCGGCUCGUCAUGCCUCGUGGGUGUCUUAUUUACAACAGUUUACUUUUGUUAUCAAGCACACGUCGGGUAUCUCCAAUCGAGUGGCUGACGCACUAAGCCGUCGUCGUUCUUUGCUGGGUGUUCUUCAUGUUUCAGUUCCCGGCUUUGCAGCUUUUGCUGACUUAUACGAGUCUGAUGAAUAUUUUGGUCGGAUUCUUCUUGAUGUUCAGAAUGGCGUAUCACGCGAUUUCACUCUUCAUGAUGGGUUUCUUUUUCGUGGCGACCGUCUCUGCGUUCCGGAUUGUAGCCUCCGUCUUCAACUAAUCGCUGAAACACAUAAUGAGGGUCAUAUAGGACGCGACAGAACAUUGCAUUUGAUCUCUGCGUCAUAUUUCUGGCCGGCUCUAAGACGCGAUGUUGAGCGUUUGGGGGAGAGAUGCACGACCUGUCAAACGUCGAAAGGACAUGCUACAAACGCUGGUCUCUACAUGCCGUUACCUAUACCAACGCAACCGUGGACUGACAUCAGUAUGGAUUUCGUCAUGGGUCUUCCUCGUACACAAAAAGGGUUUGAUUCAAUCUUUGUUGUCGUGGAUCGAUUCUCAAAAAUGGUGCACUUUGUUCCCUGUAAAAAAACGACGGAUGCAGUUCAAGUUGCGACACUCUUCUUCCGUGAGGUUUAUAGACUUCAUGGGUUGCCUACUUCUAUUGUCUCAGACCGCAAUUCACGCUUCUUGGGUCACUUCUGGCGAUCUCUUUGGAAGCUUCUCGGCA
rnacentral:lncRNA from 1 species